rnacentral:rRNA from 1 species
AUUGAACGCUGGCGGCAGGCCUAACACAUGCAAGUCGAGCGGAUGAAGGGAGCUUGCUCCUGGAUUCAGCGGCGGACGGGUGAGUAAUGCCUAGGAAUCUGCCUGGUAGUGGGGGAUAACGUCCGGAAACGGGCGCUAAUACCGCAUACGUCCUGAGGGAGAAAGUGGGGGAUCUUCGGACCUCACGCUAUCAGAUGAGCCUAGGUCGGAUUAGCUAGUUGGUGGGGUAAAGGCCUACCAAGGCGACGAUCCGUAACUGGUCUGAGAGGAUGAUCAGUCACACUGGAACUGAGACACGGUCCAGACUCCUACGGGAGGCAGCAGUGGGGAAUAUCGGACAAUGGGCGAAAGCCUGAUCCAGCCAUGCCGCGUGUGUGAAGAAGGUCUUCGGAUUGUAAAGCACUUUAAGUUGGGAGGAAGGGCAGUAAGUUAAUACCUUGCUGUUUUGACGUUACCAACAGAAUAAGCACCGGCUAACUUCGUGCCAGCAGCCGCGGUAAUACGAAGGGUGCAAGCGUUAAUCGGAAUUACUGGGCGUAAAGCGCGCGUAGGUGGUUCAGCAAGUUGGAUGUGAAAUCCCCGGGCUCAACCUGGGAACUGCAUCCAAAACUACUGAGCUAGAGUACGGUAGAGGGUGGUGGAAUUUCCUGUGUAGCGGUGAAAUGCGUAGAUAUAGGAAGGAACACCAGUGGCGAAGGCGACCACCUGGACUGAUACUGACACUGAGGUGCGAAAGCGUGGGGAGCAAACAGGAUUAGAUACCCUGGUAGUCCACGCCGUAAACGAUGUCGACUAGCCGUUGGGAUCCUUGAGAUCUUAGUGGCGCAGCUAACGCGAUUAGUCGACCGCCUGGGGAGUACGGCCGC